AUGCCCAACAGCAAGCCCAUAAGCAAAAACCAACGUACACCCAGCAAUACCCCCUAAGA
rnacentral:rRNA from 1 species